rnacentral:snRNA from 1 species
UUUAAACGAGUCAUUUUGCUC